AAAUGCGAUAAGUAGUGUGAAUUGCAGAAUUCAGUGAAUCAUCGAAUCUUUGAACGCACAUUGCGCCCCUCGGUAUUCCGUGGGGCAUGCCUGUUCGAGCGUCAUCUACACCCUCAAGCUCUGCUUGGUGUUGGGCGUCUGUCCCGCCUCCUUCGCGCGCGGACUCGCCCCAAAUCCAUUGGCGGCGGCCCUUGCCUCCCUCUCGCGCAGCACAUUGCGCUUCUCGAGGCGCGGCGGACCGCGUCCCGCAAGCAACCGUCACACCGUCUUUGACCUCGGAUCAGGUAGGGAUACCCGCUGAACUUAAGC
rnacentral:misc_RNA from 1 species